rnacentral:lncRNA from 1 species
UAAUAGAUGAACGCUCCCUCUUUCUCUUUUUUUUUUUCUCUCUCUCAAUGUCUUACAACUGCAGAUGAAUGGCAAUUCUUUCCAGUUGAAUCCUAGAUAUUUGAAGUCAUGCUGAACCCUAGCAAUGGUCUGAAGAAACUACCAUCGGUGUUCAGGGAAUACAGGCAAGGUGGAGAUGGAGACAAACUUGGUGCUUAAUAAGAAGCUAUGGAAUUAAAGAAAAGACAGCAUACAGCAUUCAGCUCACGUUCACUGUGUUCCUCCUCUGUAUUCUACCAGUGGCUCAGAUAUAGAAGCAGCUUGAAGGAAAAUGUUGGGUGGCCAAGAAAAUCCAUCCUUUCUCAGCAGAAAACGAAGCCAGAAAAACCAGAGAUCCGGGGGCACUGUUGCUGGGUCAGUCAGCCAUGCAGAACAAAGGGGCGCUCUGAUUGGAGGGUGUUGCCAGCAGAAAAAAAGGAGCACUCUGAUUGGAGGAUGGUGACUACGAAACUCAGGAUGUAGAAAAUUGGACCAAGGCAAACAGAAAACUUCUGCAAAAGAAACCAGCGCAACAUUAGGGGCUACAGUCAGUGCAGAUGUCGCACAGAAAUUAUAUUCAGGGACAAGGACAUUGUGUAGUGCAUGAGCUCUCUGUGGGAAGCAAAGAGUCAGGGAUGAAGAGAAGAUGAAAGAAUAUUGCGCGGUGCAGAGGAA